GCGGGAGCGGCGGUUAGCAGCCGGCUCGGGCCGCCCGGCUGUCCCGUCAGACGGCGCCGCUCCCUCAGCCCGGCCCCGCCGCUGCAGCCGCUGUUCGCCAGAGCUGUCCGGGCAGCACCGAGACGGAGGCGCGGCACAACGAAAGCGGUGCUGAGGACAGCGGCGCCGGAGGUGUGCGGGAGAACGGCUCCGGGCCGGGGCCGGGGCUGGGGCUGGGGCGAGGAACCGUAUGAGGCCCGAACCGCCCCGCCCUCUCCUUCCCCUCCCCUCCGCCGUGGGAUGCGGGGAUUUGGGACGGCUGAAGGACUCGGGGCCCCCACCGCCGCAGUGCUGCUGCCCGCAUCCGGGCCGGGCCCCCCCGAGCCUCCAGCGCUGCUCCCGGUGCCCCCCGGGGCUGAGGCACAGGUAUUGUUUAACAGUGCCUUUGGAGAAGUUUUCAGUAUCCAGUCUCCUGCUCAGGAAGAAAGUUUUUGGAGGACUUAAUCAUGAGUGGAGCUGCUGCUGAAGCUCCACUUCAAACAAGCAAGCUGGUGAGGACGUUGUGCAUCUCAGCCUUUCCUCAGUGCAAGGCUGGGCAGACACGGGCAGCACUGCCUGCAGCAGCACCAGCUGAGCUCUGUGUGCCAGAGGAAGGAAUGCGGCGCUCUGGAGGAGCAGGAGGAGGAGACCCUGC